GUCUAUGGCUAUACCACCCUGAACGUGCUCCAUCUCAUCUAAUCUCGGAAGCUAAGCAGGGUCGGGCCUAGUUAGUACUUGGAUGGGAGAAGUUCUUCUGAUUACAGGAAAUUUCAAAUAUAUACU
ensembl:rRNA 5S_rRNA 5S ribosomal RNA